rnacentral:rRNA from 1 species
UCCCCGGCAGCGACCUACUCUCCCGCUUAUGCAGUACCAUCGGCGCUGGAGGGCUUAACUUCCGUGUUCGGAAUGGGAACGGGUGUUUCCCCUCCGCUAUCGCCACCG